rnacentral:rRNA from 1 species
UACGUAGGGGGCGAGCGUUGUCCGGAUUCAUUGGGCGUAAAGAGCUCGUAGGCGGCUUGCUAAGUCAGGUGUGAAAUCUCCAGGCUCAACCUGGAGUCGCCACCUGAUACUGGUAUGGCUUGAGUCCGGUAGGGGAUCACGGAAUUCCUGGUGUAGCGGUGAAAUGCGCAGAUAUCGGGAGGAACACCUAUGGCGAAGGCAGCUCGCUGGGACGUUACUGACGCUGAGACGCGAAAGCGUGGGGAGCAAACAGG